UACAGAGGUCUCAAGCGUUGUUCGGAUUCAUUGGGCGUAAAGGGUGCGUAGGCGGGUCUUUAAGUCAGGGGUGAAAUCCUGGAGCUCAACUCCAGAACUGCCUUUGAUACUGAAGAUCUUGAGUUCGGGAGAGGUGAGUGGAACUGCGAGUGUAGAGGUGAAAUUCGUAGAUAUUCGCAAGAACACCAGUGGCGAAGGCGGCUCGCUGGCCCGAUACUGACGCUGAGGCACGAAAGCGUGGGGAGCAAACAGG
rnacentral:rRNA from 1 species